CAUUAAGUUACUUAUAUGCAAGUAUUGAUCUCUUAAAUCAAAUUAUAGUAAAUUAGCAAAUACUCUUAAUGA
rnacentral:tRNA from 2 species